rnacentral:misc_RNA from 1 species
AGCAGCCGCGGUAAUUCCAGCUCCAAUAGCGUAUAUUAAAGUUGUUGCAGUUAAAAAGCUCGUAGUUGAAUUUCGGGGUUAGUAGGUUGGUCAUGCCUCUGGUAUGUACUGGUCUCACUGAUUCCUCCUUCCUGAUGAGCCGUAAUGCCAUUAAUUUGGUGUUGCGGGGAAUUUGGACUGUUACUUUGAAAAAAUUAGAGUGUUUAAAGCAAGCUAACGCUUGAAUACAUUAGCAUGGAAUAAUGAAAUAGGACGUUCGAUCCUAUUUUGUUGGUUUCUAGGAUUGACGUAAUGAUUAAUAGGGAUAGUUGGGGGCAUUAGUAUUCAAUUGUCAGAGGUGAAAUUCUUGGAUUUAUUGAAGACUAACUACUGCGAAAGCAUUUUGCCAAGGAUGUUUUCAUUAAUCAAGAACGAAAGUUAGGGGAUCGAAGACGAUCAGAUACCGUCGUAGUCUUAACCAUAAACUAUGCCGACUAGGAAUCAGACGAUGUUAAUUUUUUAAUGACUCGUUUGGCACCUU